rnacentral:rRNA from 1 species
UACCAAGGCGCUUGAGAGAACUCUGCUGAAGGAACUCGGCAAAUUGCACGCGUAACUUCGGAAGAAGCGUGACCCCAUGGCACGCAAGUGUUGUGGGGUGGCACAGACCAGGGGGUAGC